GACGAACGCUGGCGGCGUGCUUAACACAUGCAAGUCGAACGGAAAGGCCCUGCUUUUGUGGUGUUCUCGUUUUGCGAACUUGUGUGUAACACGUGUGUAUCCUUCCCUUUUCUUUUUUAUAUCUUCAGGUAACUGGUUCUAAUACCGUAUAUGAUCUCCUGCUGCUUUGUGGUGUUUGGAAAGUUUCGGCGGUUGGGGAUGUACUCGCGUCUUAUCUGCUUGUUUGUGUGGUAGUGGCUUACCAAGGGUUUGACGGGUAGCCGGCAUGAGAGGGUUACCGGCCACAUGGGGACUGAGAUACGGCGCAGACUCCUACGGGAGGCAGCAGUGGGGAAUAUUGCACAAUGGGCGGAAGCCUGAUGCAGCAACGCCGCGUGCGGGAUGACGGCCUUCGGGUUGUAAACAGAUUUCGACUGUGACGAAGCGUGAGUGACGGUAAUGGGUAAAGAAGCACCGGCUAACUACGUG
rnacentral:rRNA from 1 species